UUAAGCGACUAAGCGUACACGGUGGAUGCCCUGGCAGUCAGAGGCGAUGAAGGACGUGCUAAUCUGCGAAAAGCGUCGGUAAGGUGAUAUGAACCGUUAUAACCGGCGAUGUCCGAAUGGGGAAACCCAGUGNNNNNNNNNNNNNNNNCACUAUCGUUAACUGAAUACAUAGGUUAACGAGGCGAACCGGGGGAACUGAAACAUCUAAGUACCCCGAGGAAAAGAAAUCAACCGAGAUUCCCCCAGUAGCGGCGAGCGAACGGGGAGCAGCCCAGAGUCUGAAUCAGCUUGUGUGUUAGUGGAACGGUCUGGAAAGUCCGACGGUACAGGGUGAUAGUCCCGUACACCAAAAUGCACAGGCUGUGAACUCGAAGAGUAGGGCGGGACACGUGGUAUCCUGUCUGAAUAUGGGGGGACCAUCCUCCAAGGCUAAAUACUCCUGACUGACCGAUAGUGAACCAGUACCGUGAGGGAAAGGCGAAAAGAACCCCGGCGAGGGGAGUGAAAAAGAACCUGAAACCGUGUACGUACAAGCAGUGGGAGCACCUUCGGGUGUGACUGCGUACCUUUUGUAUAAUGGGUCAGCGACUUAUAUUCUGUAGCAAGGUUAACCGUAUAGGGGAGCCGCAGGGAAACCGAGUCUUAACUGGGCGUUAAGUUGCAGGGUAUAGACCCGAAACCCGGUGAUCUAGCCAUGGGCAGGUUGAAGGUUGGGUAACACUAACUGGAGGACCGAACCGACUAAUGUUGAAAAAUUAGCGGAUGACUUGUGGCUGGGGGUGAAAGGCCAAUCAAACCGGGAGAUAGCUGGUUCUCCCCGAAAGCUAUUUAGGUAGCGCCUCGUGAAUUCAUCUUCGGGGGUAGAGCACUGUUUCGGCUAGGGGGUCAUCCCGACUUACCAACCCGAUGCAAACUACGAAUACCGAAGAAUGUUAUCACGGGAGACACACGGCGGGUGCUAACGUCCGUCGUGAAGAGGGAAACAACCCAGACCGCCAGCUAAGGUCCCAAAGUCAUGGUUAAGUGGGAAACGAUGUGGGAAGGCACAGACAGCCAGGAUGUUGGCUUAGAAGCAGCCAUCAUUUAAAGAAAGCGUAAUAGCUCACUGGUCGAGUCGGCCUGCGCGGAAGAUGUAACGGGGCUAAACCAUGCACCGAAGCUGCGGCAGCGACACUAUGUGUUGUUGGGUAGGGGAGCGUUCUGUAAGCCUGCGAAGGUGUGCUGUGAGGCAUGCUGGAGGUAUCAGAAGUGCGAAUGCUGACAUAAGUAACGAUAAAGCGGGUGAAAAGCCCGCUCGCCGGAAGACCAAGGGUUCCUGUCCAACGUUAAUCGGGGCAGGGUGAGUCGACCCCUAAGGCGAGGCCGAAAGGCGUAGUCGAUGGGAAACAGGUUAAUAUUCCUGUACUUGGUGUUACUGCGAAGGGGGGACGGAGAAGGCUAUGUUAGCCGGGCGACGGUUGUCCCGGUUUAAGCAUGUAGGCUGGUUGUCCAGGCAAAUCCGGAUAAUCAAGGCUGAGGUGUGAUGACGAGGCACUACGGUGCUGAAGUAACAAAUGCCCUGCUUCCAGGAAAAGCCUCUAAGCAUCAGGUAACAUCAAAUCGUACCCCAAACCGACACAGGUGGUCAGGUAGAGAAUACCAAGGCGCUUGAGAGAACUCGGGUGAAGGAACUAGGCAAAAUGGUGCCGUAACUUCGGGAGAAGGCACGCUGGUGUGUAGGUGAAGCCCCUGCGGGUGGAGCUGAGACCAGUCGAAGAUACCAGCUGGCUGCAACUGUUUAUUAAAAACACAGCACUGUGCAAACACGAAAGUGGACGUAUACGGUGUGACGCCUGCCCGGUGCCGGAAGGUUAAUUGAUGGGGUUAUCCGUAAGGAGAAGCUCUUGAUCGAAGCCCCGGUAAACGGCGGCCGUAACUAUAACGGUCCUAAGGUAGCGAAAUUCCUUGUCGGGUAAGUUCCGACCUGCACGAAUGGCGUAAUGAUGGCCAGGCUGUCUCCACCCGAGACUCAGUGAAAUUGAACUCGCUGUGAAGAUGCAGUGUACCCGCGGCAAGACGGAAAGACCCCGUGAACCUUUACUAUAGCUUGACACUGAACAUUGAGCCUUGAUGUGUAGGAUAGGUGGGAGGCUUUGAAGCGUGGACGCCAGUCUGCGUGGAGCCAACCUUGAAAUACCACCCUUUAAUGUUUGAUGUUCUAACGUUGGCCCCUUACCGGGGUUGCGGACAGUGUCUGGUGGGUAGUUUGACUGGGGCGGUCUCCUCCCAAAGCGUAACGGAGGAGCACGAAGGUUAGCUAAUCCUGGUCGGACAUCAGGAGGUUAGUGCAAUGGCAUAAGCUAGCUUGACUGCGAGCGUGACGGCGCGAGCAGGUGCGAAAGCAGGUCAUAGUGAUCCGGUGGUUCUGAAUGGAAGGGCCAUCGCUCAACGGAUAAAAGGUACUCCGGGGAUAACAGGCUGAUACCGCCCAAGAGUUCAUAUCGACGGCGGUGUUUGGCACCUCGAUGUCGGCUCAUCACAUCCUGGGGCUGAAGUAGGUCCCAAGGGUAUGGCUGUUCGCCAUUUAAAGUGGUACGCGAGCUGGGUUUAGAACGUCGUGAGACAGUUCGGUCCCUAUCUGCCGUGGGCGCUGGAGAAUUGAGGGGGGCUGCUCCUAGUACGAGAGGACCGGAGUGGACGCAUCACUGGUGUUCGGGUUGUCAUGCCAAUGGCACUGCCCGGUAGCUAAAUGCGGAAGAGAUAAGUGCUGAAAGCAUCUAAGCACGAAACUUGCCCCGAGAUGAGUUCUCCCUGAGACUUUAAGUCUCCUGAAGGAACGUUAAAGACGAUGACGUUGAUAGGCCGGGUGUGUAAGCGCAGCGAUGCGUUGAGCUAACCGGUACUAAUGAACCGUGAGGCUUAACCUU
rnacentral:rRNA from 1 species